rnacentral:rRNA from 1 species
UACGUAGGUGGCAAGCGUUGUCCGGAAUUACUGGGCGUAAAGAGCGCGCAGGCGGCUGGUCAAGUCCGAUGUGAAAGCUCCCGGCUUAACUGGGAAAUUGCAUCGGAAACUGAUCGGCUUGAAGGUGGGAGAGGGUAGUGGAAUUCCCGGUGUAGUGGUGAAAUGCGUAGAUAUCGGGAGGAACACCAGUGGCGAAGGCGACUACCUGGCCCACUCUUGACGCUGAGGCGCGAAAAGCUAGGGGAGCAAACGGGG